rnacentral:rRNA from 1 species
UACAUUGGGUGCAAACGUUGCUCGGAAUCAUUGGGCGUAAAGCGCGCGUAGGCGGUUACUUAAGUUGGAUGUGAAAGCCCUCGGCUUAACUGAGGAAGUGCAUCCAAAACUGAGUAGCUAGAGUACGAAAGAGGGUCGCGGAAUUCCCGGUGUAGAGGUGAAAUUCGUAGAUAUCGGGAGGAACACCCGUGGCGAAGGCGGCUCUCUGGAACGCAACUGACGCUGAGACGCGAAAGCGUGGGGAGCAAACAGG